rnacentral:rRNA from 1 species
GACGAACGCUGGCGGCGUGCUUAACACAUGCAAGUCGAACGGAAAGGCCCUGCUUGCAGGGUACUCGAGUGGCGAACGGGUGAGUAACACGUGGGUGAUCUGCCCUGCACUUCGGGAUAAGCCUGGGAAACUGGGUCUAAUACCGGAUAGGAGCCACUUUCAGUGUGAUGAUUGGAAAGUUUUUUCGGUGUAGGAUGAGCUCGCGGCCUAUCAGCUUGUUGGUGGGGUAAUGGCCUACCAAGGCGGCGACGGGUAGCCGGCCUGAGAGGGUGGACGGCCACAUUGGGACUGAGAUACGGCCCAGACUCCUACGGGAGGCAGCAGUGGGGAAUAUUGCACAAUGGGCGCAAGCCUGUUGCAGCGACGCCGCGUGGGGGAUGACGGCCUUCGGGUUGUAAACUCCUUUCGCUAGGGACGAAGCUUUUGUGACGGUACCUAGAUAAGAAGCACCGGCUAACUACGUG